CAGACUUCAGCCAGGACGUGGGAGGACAACUGGACCCUGAUCUUUACAGAGAUCCAAUGUUGGUCUCCUUGGGGGUCUCAGUUUUCCAAACCAGAUGUGACCCCCAUCUGGAACACGGAGAAGAGCCAUAAAAGGCUAGGGAACGCUUUCCUGUCCAGAUCUGGUGGUCAGAUCUGAAACCAAAGAUGAACUCAGCACAGAGGUUUUCCCGGGAAGAACCAGCCCUUAGAGUCGUGAUGAGUAAGAACACUUAGCAGGAUGGCCUCUGCUCCCUGAGACAGGAUAACCUCCGCCCAGUGACUUGACAAACUGCCCCAAGGCACCGCAAAAUCCAGAGAGGCAACGAUGACAUGUGCUGUCCCCCCCCCCAGGCCCUUCCCUGGAGCCCAGAGUCUGUCCCAGGCUGGAGUCCACAGGCCGAUCCCAGUCGCUGCUCUUAGAAGGAAAGAAGGAAGUGCGGGUCCAGGACAGGCUCAGGGAAUCCCAGAAAGGGCCACCUGCCCUCUCAAAACAUCACCCGACCAGGACAGGCCACGCUGACCCCUGGAAGCAGGGCAGUGACGAGGAUGAGGCAGACACCUCCGAAGCUCCAGGCUCUGGCUGCUUGAAGAGGGAGCCGAGUAGGAGAGGAUGGAGAUUCUGACUCAGAAGCCAAGAAACAGGGAACAGGCCCAGCAUGGGGAGGCAGCGGGUGCAAGAAGGGCAAGAAGUGACAAUUGAAGGCAAAGCCCAACUUAAGAACCCCCUUGGGAAGUCUGGGGUGGAGACUCAGUUUAUACCCCGCAGAAGGGAUAAGGGAAUCUGAGGCGCAGUCUGCCCCAGAGGAACCCAAAGGGGAGUCAGGCUCCCCAUGAACCUGGGCACGUGUUUCUCCUGUCUGUGCCAGGAGCCUCGGCCUCGGUUGUCGUGUGUGUUAAAUGGCCACCCUAAAUUCUAAAUUAAAUGUAAUCCGCUGGAAUAUGAACGUCUCCACUAGAACGUGGACCCCUUGAGAGCAAGGACUUUCUCUUUAAAAAUUGUGAUAAAAUACACAUAACAUAAAAUUUACCAUCUUAGCCAUUUUUAAGUGUGCAAUUCAGUGACAUUGCUUUGCAAGCUUCACCACCAUCCAUCUCCAGAAUUUUUUCAUCUCCUCAAACUGAAACUCUGUCCCCAUUCAACACCAACUCUCCAUUCCCCUCCCCCAAGCCCAGGCAUCCACCAUUCUACUUUCUGUCUCUAUGAAUUUGACUAUUCUGGGGACGUCACACAGAUGGAAUCAUGGAGUAUUUGUCUUUUUGUGACUGGCUUACUGCACUUGGCAUGAUGUCCUCAGGGUUCACCGUGUUGUUGCAUGUGUCAGCAUUUCCUUCCUUUUUAAGGCUGGAUUGUAGUCCACUGUGCGCACAGCCCACACUGUGUUUCUUCAUGGGUUCUGUCCACUGCUGUAUUGCACCCCUAGAACCUUGCUAGCACACGGGAGGGAUUCAAAUAAGCGUUGAGAGAACGACUUAAAUGAGAUAAGCCACGGAAAGCACUACUCUCAGGCACAUAGUAAGCCUUCUGAAAGUAUUAGCCGUUGGCAUGACUCGCCAUCUUCAUGGUAAUCUCAUCCGUGUAAACAUGACCCACAGGAAAGCGAGAGGUCUCGGCAGCGCCCAGAAACAGUUGUAUCUCUCACUGCCACCCCCGUGCAUACACAGAGUGAAGCAGCAGAAGUCACAAGUUAAGAGUUCAAUGUCCCCGGUGCUUCUGAGCUUGGCACUUAUAACCUGAAGUUCUACCAGCUUCUGCCUGAAGAGGUGCCUCCUGGAAGUAGGCUGGUCCCUACCAUCUUGGUGGCCUUUUCUGGAAGACUCAUUGUGGUGGGAGCCCCUGGCUAUGAGCUGCCCUCUGUCACCCUCCAUCGUUCUUAGGGACACCCACUUUCCUUAGAGAUGAGGAAGGCCCAGCCCAGCACUGCAGGAACGGCAGCCAGUGACAUGGUGGGAGGCGGCCAGCAAUGGCCCUCCUUGCUCCAGGGCUACACCUGCAGAAAACCUGGGGUUUAUAUAGGUCAUUUUUCAUACAGGAAGAGAGGGAAUCCCUUUCUACUUCCUCCUUGAACAAAUUCCAGGAGAUUCAGAUGAUGUGUCCUGAAGGUGAUGAGCUGGCAGCCCAAGGCCGUCUUGUCACGUUUCCGUGGUGCAGACGCAGGCCCCAAGAUGCUGCCGUUAUCUGAAGGCCUCUGCUCUACCACGAGAGAAGCCACAGGCUGGUGAGAGCCUGUCUAGGAGGCUGGCUGGGAGGGGGCACAGGAAAGAGGCUGCUGUGUCUUUCCACAGAAAGCUCGUGGACCUCUACCCGUCCGCGGGAGCCUCGUGGCCCAGAGUGGAUGGGGCUGCUCCGUCUUCUCCUGUCAGCUUUACACAGCUCAGCGCGGCAGCCUUUUGACAUGAAGUAAUAAUUGUCAGAGAGGGUCAGGCCUGCACCAGCCGAGAAAACAGCAGAGUGACCCUUGGAAGGAAAGCAGGUCCUGCCGAAUCCGUGCACAGCCCAUUAGCGGGUCAGAGGACCUUCCCCCGCUGACAUUUGCGUCGUCGCUGCCUCAUCAAGAAAUCUGACUUGGGGACAUCCUCUGGGCAGUCACCUUGAUGGGGGCCGUGUGCCCAGCCUCCUUCAGAGUGGUGCUCGGCAGAUGGUUUUAAACAUCAUAAUGAAAAAACAAUAGAAGGCGUUUCACGGUUAUUUUUACCUUAGUACAAAAGGAAUAAAUAAUCAGAGAAAUUUUGGAGAUUAUGAAAAAGCACAGAGAUGGAAUAAAUCGUUUACCCC
ensembl:lncRNA